UGGAUAAACUUAAUGACGCGCCAAAAUAACAACGAACAACAACUUUUUCUUUUUCCUUUUUUCUUUUCGUUGAAGAAAUUUUCAAUCAUACGAGAUUUGUCAUCAAAGUUCUAAGCAAAAAUCUGGAUAUCAGAAGAGUAAUAUCAGGCCAUUUUCCAAGUUUGUGCCUGUGUUUUUUUUUCCAACAACAACAACAACAACAAAAGUCUCGUGGUUUAAAGAUAUUUUCUUGUUUUCCAAACACGAACAACAACAUCUCAUUUUUCAACGAUAUUCGUCGUUAUUGUUUGUUUGAAGCCAUCGAACAUAGACAAACCAUACAUACACAGACAACAAGACAACAAAGACCAAUACACCAAACAUCAAUUCGAGUCUGUUCAGGAACAAUUUCUUUGUUGAAACUCUCUCUCUCUCACUCUAUUGUUGUCUAUGUGAUUUUUCAUUGAUGUGCAGUGUGUGUGUGUGUGUUGUGUAUAUUUGAGUAAAUUGUGCAUAA